rnacentral:rRNA from 3 species
UGCAGUCGAACGAUGAUCUCCAGCUUGCUGGGGGGAUUAGUGGCGAACGGGUGAGUAACACGUGAGUAACCUGCCCUUGACUCUGGGAUAAGCCUGGGAAACUGGGUCUAAUACUGGAUACGACCUUCCAUCGCAUGGUGGUUGGUGGAAAGCUUUUGUGGUUUUGGAUGGACUCGCGGCCUAUCAGCUUGUUGGUGGGGUAAUGGCCUACCAAGGCGACGACGGGUAGCCGGCCUGAGAGGGUGGACGGCCACACUGGGACUGAGACACGGCCCAGACUCCUACGGGAGGCAGCAGUGGGGAAUAUUGCACAAUGGGCGCAAGCCUGAUGCAGCGACGCCGCGUGAGGGAUGAAGGCCUUCGGGUUGUAAACCUCUUUCAGUAGGGAAGAAGCGAAAGUGACGGUACCUGCAGAAGAAGCGCCGGCUAACUACGUGCCAGCAGCCGCGGUAAUACGUAGGGCGCAAGCGUUAUCCGGAAUUAUUGGGCGUAAAGAGCUCGUAGGCGGUUUGUCGCGUCUGCCGUGAAAGUCCGGGGCUUAACCCCGGAUCUGCGGUGGGUACGGGCAGACUUGAGUGAUGUAGGGGAGACUGGAAUUCCUGGUGUAGCGGUGAAAUGCGCAGAUAUCAGGAGGAACACCGAUGGCGAAGGCAGGUCUCUGGGCAUUAACUGACGCUGAGGAGCGAAAGCAUGGGGAGCGAACAGGAUUAGAUACCCUGGUAGUCCAUGCCGUAAACGUUGGGCACUAGGUGUG